UACAGAGGGUGCAAACGUUGCUCGGAUUUACUGGGCGUAAAGCGCAUGUAGGCUGGAAUCUAAGUCGGGUGUGAAAUCCCUGGGCUCAACCUAGGAACUGCAUCCGAAACUGGACUCCUGGAGUGGUGGAGAGGAAAGCGGAAUUCCGGGUGUAGAGGUGAAAUUCGUAGAUAUCCGGAGGAACACCAGUGGCGAAGGCGGCUUUCUGGACACCAACUGACGCUGAGAUGCGAAAGCGUGGGGAGCAAACAGG
rnacentral:rRNA from 1 species